rnacentral:rRNA from 1 species
GGCGUAAAGGGCUUCGCAGGCGGUUUUUUAAGUCUGAAUGUGAAAGCCCCCCGGCUCAACCGGGGAGGGUCAUUGGAAACUUGGGGAACUUGAGUGCAGAAGAGGAGAGUGGAAUUCCACGUGUAGCGGUGAAAUGCGUAGAGAUGUGGAGGAACACCAGUGGCGAAGGCGACUCUCUGGUCUGUAACUGACGCUGAGGAGCGAAAGCGUGGGGAGCGAACAGGAUUAGAUACCCUGGUAGUCCACGCCGUAAACGAUGAGUGCUAAGUGUUAGGGGGUUUCCGCCCCUUAGUGCUGCAGCUAACGCAUUAAGCACUCCGCCUGGGGAGUACGGUCGCAAGACUGAAACUCAAAGGAAUUGACGGGGGCCCGCACAAGCGGUGGAGCAUGUGGUUUAAUUCGAAGCAACGCGAAGAACCUUACCAGGUCUUGACAUCCUCUGACAAUCCUAGAGAUAGGACGUCCCCUUCGGGGGCAGAGUGACAGGUGGUGCAUGGUUGUCGUCAGCUCGUGUCGUGAGAUGUUGGGUUAAGUCCCGCAACGAGCGCAACCCUUGAUCUUAGUUGCCAGCAUUCAGUUGGGCACUCUAAGGUGACUGCCGGUGACAAACCGGAGGAAGGUGGGGAUGACGUCAAAUCAUCAUGCCCCUUAUGACCUGGGCUACACACGUGCUACAAUGGACAGAACAAAGGGCAGCGAAACCGCGAGGUUAAGCCAAUCCCCACAAUCUGUUCUCAGUUCGGAUCGCAUUCUGCAACUCGACUGCGUGAAGCUGGAAUCGCUAGUAAUCGCGGAU